rnacentral:lncRNA from 1 species
GUAAAGGACUGGGGCCCCGCAACUGGCCUCUCCUGCCCUCUUAAGCGCAGCGCCAUUUUAGCAACGCAGAAGCCCGGCGCCGGGAAGCCUCAGCUCGCCUGAAGGCAGGUCCCCUCUGACGCCUCCGGGAGCCCAGGUUUCCCAGAGUCCUUGGGACGCAGCGACGAGUUGUGCUGCUAUCUUAGCUGUCCUUAUAGGCUGGCCAUUCCAGGUGGUGGUAUUUAGAUAAAACCACUCAAACUCUGCAGUUUGGUCUUGGGGUUUGGAGGAAAGCUUUUAUUUUUCUUCCUGCUCCGGUUCAGAAGGUCUGAAGCUCAUACCUAACCAGGCAUAACACAGAAUCUGCAAAACAAAAACCCCUAAAAAAGCAGACCCAGAGCAGUGUAAACACUUCUGGGUGUGUCCCUGACUGGCUGCCCAAGGUCUCUGUGUCUUCGGAGACAAAGCCAUUCGCUUAGUUGGUCUACUUUAAAAGGCCACUUGAACUCGCUUUCCAUGGCGAUUUGCCUUGUGAGCACUUUCAGGAGAGCCUGGAAGCUGAAAAACGGUAGAAAAAUUUCCGUGCGGGCCGUGGGGGGCUGGCGGCAACUGGGGGGCCGCAGAUCAGAGUGGGCCACUGGCAGCCAACGGCCCCCGGGGCUCAGGCGGGGAGCAGCUCUGUGGUGUGGGAUUGAGGCGUUUUCCAAGAGUGGGUUUUCACGUUUCUAAGAUUUCCCAAGCAGACAGCCCGUGCUGCUCCGAUUUCUCGAACAAAAAAGCAAAACGUGUGGCUGUCUUGGGAGCAAGUCGCAGGACUGCAAGCAGUUGGGGGAGAAAGUCCGCCAUUUUGCCACUUCUCAACCGUCCCUGCAAGGCUGGGGCUCAGUUGCGUAAUGGAAAGUAAAGCCCUGAACUAUCACACUUUAAUCUUCCUUCAAAAGGUGGUAAACUAUACCUACUGUCCCUCAAGAGAACACAAGAAGUGCUUUAAGAGGUAUUUUAAAAGUUCCGGGGGUUUUGUGAGGUGUUUGAUGACCCGUUUAAAAUAUGAUUUCCAUGUUUCUUUUGUCUAAAGUUUGCAGCUCAAAUCUUUCCACACGCUAGUAAUUUAAGUAUUUCUGCAUGUGUAGUUUGCAUUCAAGUUCCAUAAGCUGUUAAGAAAAAUCUAGAAAAGUAAAACUAGAACCUAUUUUUAACCGAAGAACUACUUUUUGCCUCCCUCACAAAGGCGGCGGAAGGUGAUCGAAUUCCGGUGAUGCGAGUUGUUCUCCGUCUAUAAAUACGCCUCGCCCGAGCUGUGCGGUAGGCAUUGAGGCAGCCAGCGCAGGGGCUUCUGCUGAGGGGGCAGGCGGAGCUUGAGGAAACCGCAGAUAAGUUUUUUUCUCUUUGAAAGAUAGAGAUUAAUACAACUACUUAAAAAAUAUAGUCAAUAGGUUACUAAGAUAUUGCUUAGCGUUAAGUUUUUAACGUAAUUUUAAUAGCUUAAGAUUUUAAGAGAAAAUAUGAAGACUUAGAAGAGUAGCAUGAGGAAGGAAAAGAUAAAAGGUUUCUAAAACAUGACGGAGGUUGAGAUGAAGCUUCUUCAUGGAGUAAAAAAUGUAUUUAAAAGAAAAUUGAGAGAAAGGACUACAGAGCCCCGAAUUAAUACCAAUAGAAGGGCAAUGCUUUUAGAUUAAAAUGAAGGUGACUUAAACAGCUUAAAGUUUAGUUUAAAAGUUGUAGGAUGAAACAAUUUGGAGAAGAUAGAAGUUUGAAGUGGAAAACUGGAAGACAGAAGUACGGGAAGGCGAAGAAAAGAAUAGAGAAGAUAGGGAAAUUAGAAGAUAAAAACAUACUUUUAGAAGAAAAAAGAAAAAGCUAAGGGCAAAAUGUACAAACUUAGAAGAAAAUUGGAAGAUAGAAACAAGAUAGAAAAUGAAAAUAUUGUCAAGAGUUUCAGAUAGAAAAUGAAAAACAAGCUAAGACAAGUAUUGGAGAAGUAUAGAAGAUAGAAAAAUAUAAAGCCAAAAAUUGGAUAAAAUAGCACUGAAAAAAUGAGGAAAUUAUUGGUAACCAAUUUAUUUUAAAAGCCCAUCAAUUUAAUUUCUGGUGGUGCAGAAGUUAGAAGGUAAAGCUUGAGAAGAUGAGGGUGUUUACGUAGACCAGAACCAAUUUAGAAGAAUACUUGAAGCUAGAAGGGGAAGUUGGUUAAAAAUCACAUCAAAAAGCUACUAAAAGGACUGGUGUAAUUUAAAAAAAACUAAGGCAGAAGGCUUUUGGAAGAGUUAGAAGAAUUUGGAAGGCCUUAAAUAUAGUAGCUUAGUUUGAAAAAUGUGAAGGACUUUCGUAACGGAAGUAAUUCAAGAUCAAGAGUAAUUACCAACUUAAUGUUUUUGCAUUGGACUUUGAGUUAAGAUUAUUUUUUAAAUCCUGAGGACUAGCAUUAAUUGACAGCUGACCCAGGUGCUACACAGAAGUGGAUUCAGUGAAUCUAGGAAGACAGCAGCAGACAGGAUUCCAGGAACCAGUGUUUGAUGAAGCUAGGACUGAGGAGCAAGCGAGCAAGCAGCAGUUCGUGGCGAGCAGGCGUUGUGCGUAGAGGAUCCUAGACCAGCAUGCCAGUGUGCCAAGGCCACAGGGAAAGCGAGUGAUAACAUCUUCUGAGUCAUAACCAGCCUGGCAGUAUGAUGGCCUAGAUGCAGAGAAAACAGCUCCUUGACAGAAACUUUGUCUGCGAACACUCUUUAAUGGACCAGAUCAGGAUUUGAGCGGAAGAACGAAUGUAACUUUAAGGCAGGAAAGACAAAUUUUAUUCUUCAUAAAGUGAUGAGCAUAUAAUAAUUCCAGGCACAUGGCAAUAGAGGCCCUCUAAAUAAGGAAUAAAUAACCUCUUAGACAGGUGGGAGAUUAUGAUCAGAGUAAAAGGUAAUUACACAUUUUAUUUCCAGAAAGUCAGGGGUCUAUAAAUUGACAGUGAUUAGAGUAAUACUUUUUCACAUUUCCAAAGUUUGCAUGUUAACUUUAAAUGCUUACAAUCUUAGAGUGGUAGGCAAUGUUUUACACUAUUGACCUUAUAUAGGGAAGGGAGGGGGUGCCUGUGGGGUUUUAAAGAAUUUUCCUUUGCAGAGGCAUUUCAUCCUUCAUGAAGCCAUUCAGGAUUUUGAAUUGCAUAUGAGUGCUUGGCUCUUCCUUCUGUUCUA